CACAAAGCUAAAUCUUAUAGCUAAUAAUGAAUUGUCUACUCUAGGUGAAGAUUGGUUUGGCAGCUUCCUAGCACGUCACCAUCUCUCUGUCCGAACUCCAGAGGAAACAUCCCUGGGAAGGGCUACAGCCUUCAAUACAACUACAGUCGGGGAGUUCUUUGACAAUCUGGCUGUAGUGAUGGACAGGCAUUACAUUCCCUCCACACAUGAUUUACAAUGUGGAUGAAACAGGCGUCUUUACAGUACAAAAGCCACAGCAGGUUGUGACAGAGAAAGGAAAAAAGCAAGUUGGUUCUGGCACAUCAGCUGAGAGAGGAGAACUGGUGACUGUGGUGUGUGCAGUGAAUGCUGCUGGAAAUGCCACACCUCCCAUGUUUAUCUUCCCCAGAGUUAAGUUUAAGGACUGCUUCAUGAUAGGAGCACCCCCAGGAGCCAAAGGUACCUCCACCAGAACAGGAUGGAUGAAUGAAGACACCUGGGCUGAGUUCCUUGAUCACCUGAUACAGCACACUAACUGCACCCCUGACCAUCCCAUGCUGUUAAUCCUGGAUAAUCUUAAGGCUCACAUCUCACUCAAGGCAGUAGAAAUAGCCAAGAGCAACGGUAUUGUUCUGCUCACCCUCCCACCCCACACAUCCCAUCGCAUGCAGCCUCUCGACGUGACCGUGUAUGGCCCGUUCAAGACCCAAUACAGCCGAGCACUUGAUGGGUGGAUGAGAUCCAACCCUGGCAAAACAGUCUCGAUCUACCAGAUUGCAGGACUUGUGAAUGAGGCCUUCAUGUCAGCAGUGACACCACGCAACAUCACUUCUGGAUUUAGGUCCACUGGGAUUUUCCCAUAUAACCGAGACACUUUCCCUGAUAAAGCGUUUGCACCAUCUAUGAUGUCAGACCAGCCAAACCCUGAGCUGCAGCCUGCCACUGCAAAUGAUCCGGAUGGUCCAUCCCCUGCAGAUGAUCCACCUACAGAUGAACCACCCGCUGCAGAUAAUUCACUCACUGAUGCUAAUCCAUCCACUGCGCAUGGUCCACAUGGAUGUGCCUCACCAGCUGACUCAGAUGUGCCGUGUGUUCCAAGCCAACCUGGAUAUGUGUCUCCUCGUGAAAUUCUACCACUUCCCAAAUGUCCCCCAGAACACAAACCAAACGAAAGCGUGUGAAGACAGCCAUCCUAACUGAUACUCCUGAGAAGCAGGCAAUUGAAAAGGCUUAUAAAGAAAGAUAAAAGAAAUUGGCAGGGAAAAAGCAAAAUAGUAAAGAAAAGGGAAAACCGAAAAAGAAAGCAACCAAAAAGAAAAUCAUAGUUAGCAGCUCUGAGGAGAGUGAUGUCCCUGUCCCAAUUGAUAAUGUGUCUGAUGAAGAGAGCUCUGAGGAUGAGAGAAGUGAUCCAGGAAACACAGAUCUGUCCGUGGGUGACUUUGUCAUAGUUAACUUUGCAACCAAACUCAGGAGCGUCCGUUACAUUGGCAUGGUUGAGAAAGUUGAGGAUGACGAAAUACUUGCACAAUUUCUCAGAAGAAUCCAGGGAAACACAAAAGAGUGGGAGAGACCCACAUUUGCUAUAAAGGAAAAUGAUGUGGCACAUGUUCCUAAAAGUGAUGUGGUGAAGAAGCUGCCUCAACCUAAAAGGCCUGGAGGAACCACACGGAGAGAGCAACUCCUCAUCUUUCCCUGUAACCUUCAGGGCUGGAAUGUAGAGUAAGCCUAGUUGUAAAGUAUGACAGUAGGCUGAUGUUCUAAUCCAGGUGGGUCUAGUCCUGUGUUCUGAGUCCCAGGCUGUUCUAGCUGGGUCUGAUUGUCCUUUGCUCUGACCCCCCAGACACUAGCUGGCUCUAAGGGUCCUGUGUUCUGACCCCCAGACUGUGUUCUAAUCUAACUGGUUCUAUCUGUCAUUUGAAUGUUAAUUAAAACAUUUUGAAUUAUAUUAGCCAAUGUUCUUUUUGAUUUUGUUCAGAGUGUGCUUAAUUGACCAAUCCCCAUGAUUCUGUUACUAGUCCGACAUUAGUUCUGGAAUGUGUGGUUGUCAAGUUAGUUGUCAGGAUUCUAACUGUUACAAUGUGUUGUUAUGGUAGUUUCAGAGUGGAAAAAGUAAGUGGAUCAGUUUACCCCGAGCUGGUUCACUUUACCCCCUCGAUUUUUCUGGUCUGUCUCAGUUUACCC
ensembl:lncRNA